CCCGGCCGAGGGCCCACCCGAAGGCACCGCCCGGGAUGUCUCAGAUGGCUUUCUCCGGGCCUUCCUGGCUUCCUCAAAUCCAAAUGGUACAUUCUACCCCCAACAAAUCCAAAUAUAUCCACGAACAAGAGAAAUUAUUACCAACAAUAUCUGCCACUGUGUUGGCUGUGAGUACUUGAGAUCUUGCGUGGUCAUUUCCUGGAAUGCGCACAGGCCUGGGAAGGGGUUGGCAGUACCAACUGGCCUCAACAGUCUGCUUUGGAAGAGGAUAUACUGUGAACAGCGCCCAGUUUGAGUCCGAGUCAUGCAGUUAAAGGUGCAGAUGAAGGAGGCAGAGAGAGAGAGACCGGUACACAAAGAGGCAGAUACACAGCCGAAUGAGACUAACUGAGGCACAGCUGUCCCUGAAGAAGUCUUCGACUCUACCCACAGACGGACGCUUCGCUCUGCCGCGCUACUCCCGAGACAAUGUGAUAUGGUCACCCGAGGGGGGACGAGGCCCUUCGCUGGUGAGAAUAUGCA